GUCACACUUUAGCACCAGAACUAAUCAGCAUAACUUACACUUGUGAUAACAUAUGUGGUGAAAUAUAAACGGAUGAGCCGCUAUUCGUGUAACAUAUACAGUUAAACAUUGGUAUUAAACAGGGAUUAGAGACCCCUUUAUACAGUGCUCACUAACUCAUGCUAAGUACUAAUACCAUACAGGUAAAAACUUAAACAACGUGGCGGUAACUUCAACUUAGGGGAACUUACUACGUAAUUGAUAACCACCAAGGGUAAUCGACUGCUUAAAAAUCUUGUAUGCCGUCGUCGUCAGGUAACACUUGAUGUCCUACCGGAUGAGCAAACUAAAAAGACAGAUCAAGGUGCAGACAAUUAAGCAGGGGCGGCGAGUUACAGUUUUGAUUAUUAACGGAGAGGCUAGGUAUUUAACAUUGAAGGUGGACUUAACAGUAAUAAAAAUGACGAAUAUUUUAUGAACUUCUUGARGUUGUGCACAA
rnacentral:rRNA from 1 species